AUUCCAGCUCCAGUAGCGUAUAUUAAAGUUGUUGCAGUUAAAAAGCUCGUAGUUGGAUUUCUGGCUUUAUAGAACUGACCCGCCACGUUAGUGUGUGAGUGUCGGCUUCUAUAUGCCAUCCUUCCACAGAACGUUUCUACUCUUGAUUGAGCCGGAUUCGCAAUGUGGAACUUUUACUUUGAAAAAAUUAGAGUGUUCAAAGCAGGCUUACGCUAUGAAUACAUUAGCAUGGAAUAAUAAUCUAGGACUUUGGUUCUAUUUUGCUGGUUUCUAGAACUGGAGUAAUGAUUGAUAGGGAUAGUUGGGGGUGCUAGUAUUCAGCGGCCAGAGGUGAAAUUCUUGGAUUCGCUGAAGACUAACUUAUGCGAAAGCAUUCACCAAGGAUGUCUUCAUUA
rnacentral:rRNA from 1 species